rnacentral:rRNA from 1 species
ACUUUUAAGUAGAGUUAAAAGAGUUGGAUCUAGUAAGAUAAGUAAAUUAUUUUUAAAUUAAUUCAUAUAAUAGGUGAAGUAAUAAUAUGGUAGUAAUUUAGUUAAUUAAAUCGAAACUAGAAAAAUUUAAAGUUAAACCAGAAUUAGAUACUCUGUUAUAUUAAGUAGAAUAGACUCCAGAUUACUAUUAGUUAUGUUCUUGAAAUUUAAAGAAUUUGGCGGUAGCUUAUUUAACCAGAGGAACCUGUUUUUUAUUCGAUAUGCCACGUUAAAUUUUACUUAUUUUUGUUUUCAGUUUGUAUACCGUCAUUGUUAGAUAAUUUUAAUAGAAAAAUAUUGGGAAUAAUAAUUUAUUUAAAUUAGAUCAAGGUGCAGCUUAUAAUUAAGUAAGAAUGGGUUACAAUAAAUUUUAUUUAUACUAAAAAAGUAAUUGAAAUAUACUUAUAAGGAGGAUUUGGUUGUAACUGGGUUUUAAUAAAUCUUAGUGAAAUAAAUCUUAAGUUGUGUACAUAUCGCCCGUCGCUUUCAGUAAUGAGAUAAGUCGUAACAUA